rnacentral:tRNA from 1 species
UCCCCGCGGUAACGUCAUCGAACAAAAUCAAUGACAUCACCCCGACUGUUAAUCGCUUUGUCGCAGGUUCGAGUCCUGCUCGGGGAGCCA